ensembl:lncRNA
CCAAGCGUGUACGUCUGCAGACUGCAAGAAAGGGGCGUAACUUGAAAGAGGCGUAACUUGAAGUAGGAGGCGUAACUUGAAGUUGUCGAAAUCUCACAGAAUCACGCGAGAUGUCAAAAUGAUAAGUUGUUGGCAAUAUGGCUGCUUUCAAUAGGGCACAGAGUAGAAUAUUGAUUACGUUUUUUAAGGGAAGCAGGGGUUUUAGGCAGGAUUUGAUGCAUAAGGUGUGUGUAGAUAUUAAUGCUAGGGGACAAUGUGAGUGAUGUGUACGUUUAGUAGGAAAACCUAUUAUCUGAUCCACACUCCGGGACAGAAGAGGGCGGUAUUGCACCAAUAAGCUGGAUGCCAACCGCCGUUAAACUGGAAAGCAGUUACAAUGAGUUACAAUGGUGAGAAUAUAUUUUUUCACGAAAUAAUUAGUUAAAUUUAAGAGUACAAGUUAUUUUCAUACAGUGGUAUUGAUUUUGGAGUUAAUAAUCUAUUAAAACUAAGGUGUAAAGUCAGCAACAUAUAAGCAAAAGGUGUAAAGACGCUAUCCUCCGGUUUCACAGACAAGAUUAAUUGAGCUAUGGCCUGAUCCUGGCUUAAUCUAAACCCUGUUUGUUACUUACAUAAUAUAGCAUAUUUGUGAUUGUGCUGUAAAAACACGUUUUAUAAUGAAUAACUAACAGGGGAGCUCAAUUAAGUACACGACUCAAAAGUGGAUUUACAUAAACCAUAUAUACAUCUUGAAGACUAUUACUAAUUGUCUAUUUAUCAUCUGACAGGAUCAUCUUUGAUAAGUAUUGCAGAUGAGCACAUUUAACAGACAUGAAACAGGCAUCUGAGUGAUGUGUGUGUGCUAUUAUUCACUCACAACACUGCUUGAGAUGAGUGUAAGUCAUGUAAACAAACAAAUCUACAUACAGUAACUAAACACAAGUUAUCUAUUUUAUUUGUCCAUUUGCAAUAUUGAUAAUUUUAGGAACAUUUGUGUUGGAUAAAAAGCGAGUUACAUCAGUUACUAACUCAACAUGCAGAUGCAGUAUAUCACAGAUAAAUCACAGAGGUUACUUGACUCUUGUCUGGAUGUUACAGGAACAGAUUAUGUUUAUCUGCUGUAGAGUGACUGAAGAAGGAAUGCUGCCAUCAAAGGAUUUGUGUUAUGAAAAUGUCUGCAGACUGGUGUGUGCACUGAGGAUGGAGAAGUCCACUGCAGCAUCCGGAAAUGGUCCAGAGACACGGAUGAGACGCUCCAUCACUCCAGCUCUUACUGUCUCAUCAGGACCAGAUGCUGCUGUGGUCUCUUCAUCAUCAGUGGCCCCAGAGCAGUGAGAGCAUCUAGAGAAAGACCAAAAGACACUGAGGAUUUGAUUUUGGUAGUGGUGCUCAUGGAGAGCAGCACACGAUUGUUUGGAGCAGACACAGCAGCAAUCAGAUUGUCCUGCACGUGUUCUUCUGCUCUCGCUUCAAGGUAGUGUGGUUCAGAGAGCCGUCAUCAAGGUCUUCCUCAUCCUGUUGCUCAACGACAUCCCCGUUGAGAAGAGCGAGACUGAGAAGCACAGCGCAGCAGCAGAACUGUCUCAGCUGUGUUGAGAUGAUAGUAAGAUGUGGGGUUCACCGUCUGUAAAUACAUGAUUGUUAGAACAGUUAGUUUGAAAGAAGCUUUGUUUCAUGUGUUGUUGACUUGUACAUGUAUGCAUUUAUUGUGAUGCUAACAUUUAUACAUUCUUUUAAUCAUUUAGACAUGUUUCUUAUUGUCAGUAAAUAAAAUAUAAAUAUUUGAU